GGUUUGGUUUGUUGUAGUUAUGAUUCAAAAUAAUGUUAUACUUUUGUGUAGAUUAGACAUGGUGAAGCAGUUGGGAUAAUUGGACCUUCAGGGACGGGGAAAUCAACUAUAUUGAAGGUUAUGGCUGGGCUGCUUGCUCUGGACAAGGGCGAUGUAAUCAUUUGUGGAAAGAAAAGGCAUGGUUUAGUUAGCGAUGAGGAUAUAGAGGGUCUCCGCAUUGGUUUGGUCUUUCAAAGUGCUGCAUUUUUUUAUUCUCUCACAGUUCGUGAAAAUGUUGGAUUCCUUUUGUAAGGGAACAUGCUUGCCAGAAGGUCAUUUUUCAGUAAUUGCUUCUGUUCAGCUUUCAUCUCUGAUACAUCCAUCCUUUGCUUUAGAUAUGAAAAUUCAAGCUUACCCGAGGACCGCAUUGGUGAAUUGGUGAAAGAAACUUUGGCUGCAGUAGGACUAAAGGUAAGUCAAGCUUCCAUAUUCGUUUAGAUAGAGCACUUCUCACCAUAAGUUUAGCAUUCAAUUGUUAAAGUAUCUGUGUUUUU